ensembl:snRNA U6 U6 spliceosomal RNA
GUGCUUGCUUUGGCAGCACAUAUACUAAAAUUGGAACAGUACAGCAAAGAUCGGCAGGACCCCUGCCCAAGGAUGAAACCCAAGGGCUGAGGAUAUAGAGAAGAGCUC